CCAACAUGGAUACCUUGGGAGGUUAUUCUCCCCGGGCUCUAUCCAGGUGGUGCAGGGCAUAGGAUUCUGCAGUGAUGUACAUUCCCAUCCCUCGAUGUUGGAGAUGAAUCCAGGCCUCAAGCCUGCACCUGCAUAUUCCUACAGCUUCUCAGAGUCCUAUGGACAAUGACUGAGGAGACAAACCAUGCAGGAAACAUGU
rnacentral:snoRNA from 1 species